GGAAGGAUCAUUACCAAAAAGUGAGAAAUCACUUUCAACCCGCUAGGUGGCCCCUCCUGGGGCUGCUGAACCGGCCAACCCUUUGUGAACCAAACAAACCUUUCGCUUCGGCAGCUGGGCCCGAACGGGCCCGUCAGCCUGCCGCUAGCACCAACCUCCAAAACCUGAUGUCAAAAACAUUGUCUGAUAACCAAAAUUUUCGAAUGAAAAUCAAAACUUUCAACAACGGAUCUCUUGGUUCCCGCAUCGAUGAAGAACGCAGCGAAACGCGAUAGUUAAUGUGAAUUGCAGAAUUCAGUGAAUCAUCGAGUCUUUGAACGCACAUUGCGCCCAUUGGUAUUCCUUUGGGCAUGUCUGUUUGAGCGUCAUUACAACCCUCAGCUAACCGCUGGUUUUGAACCCGAACGGCCCUGAACGGGGACCCCGCGCCGGUUCUAAAGUUGUAAGCUCUGCUGGCCGCUCUGCCCAACCGGAACAUAGUAAGCUCUACUUGUUCGGGGUGAAGCUGAACGGUGCGGCCUGAACAAAACCUACCCAUUUCUUCAAGGUUUGACCUCAGAUCAGACAAGGAUACCCGCUGAACUUAAGCAUAUCAAUAAGCGGAGGAAAAGAAACCAACAGGGAUUGCCUCAGUAACGGCGAGUGAAGCGGCAACAGCUCAAAUUUGAAAUCUGGAGCCUUCGGCUUCCGAGUUGUAAUUUGAAGAGGAUGUUUCGGUGCGGCCUGGGCCCAAGUUCCUUGGAACAGGAUGUCAUGGAGGGUGAGAAUCCCGUACAUGGCUGCAGGCUUGCUUCCGUGUGAAACUCCUUCGAAGAGUCGAGUUGUUUGGGAAUGCAGCUCAAAAUGGGUGGUAAAUUUCAUCUAAAGCUAAAUAUUGGCGGGAGACCGAUAGCGCACAAGUAGAGUGAUCGAAAGAUGAAAAGCACUUUGAAAAGAGAGUUAAACAGUACGUGAAAUUGUUGAAAGGGAAGCGCUUGCAAUCAGACUCGCCUUCAGUUGAUCAGCCUUCCUUCUGGUCGGUGCACUCUGCUGUUGGCGGGCCAGCAUCAGUUGGGGCGGCGGGACAAAGGCAGUGGGAAUGUGGCUCGCUCCGGUGAGUGUUAUAGCCCUCUGCGCCAUGCCGCCAGCCCCGACUGAGGUCCGCGGUUCGCCUAGGAUGCUGGCUUAAUGGUCGUAAGCGACCCGUCUUGAAACACGGACCAAGGAGUCUAACAUCUAUGCGAGUCUUUGGGUGUCAAACCCAUGGGCGGAAUGAAAGUGAACGGAGGUGGGAGUCCUCGCGGAUGCACCAUCGACCGAUCCUGAUGUUCUCGGAUGGAUUUGAGUAGGAGCAUAGCUGUUGGGACCCGAAAGAUGGUGAACUAUGCCUGAAUAGGGUGAAGCCAGAGGAAACUCUGGUGGAGGCUCGCAGCGGUUCUGACGUGCAAAUCGAUCGUCAAAUUUGGGUAUAGGGGCGAAAGACUAAUCGAACCAUCUAGUAGCUGGUUCCUGC
rnacentral:misc_RNA from 1 species